AAAAGUAGAAAACAGAUGAAAAGCAAAAGGGAAAAGUGAACUUCGUAAAAAUACCAUACAUGCCAGACCCUUCAAAUAUGAUUUCCUGCAUAUUGCACUUUAAAAAGCAUGAUAUUACAACAUGCUCUCGCAUGCAGGGGCCAAAAAUAUGAAAGAAUAAAGCCUUGUUUGAUCUCGAGAGUUGAAUGGAUGUCAUUUGACCCAUCCAUGAUCUGAUCCUAGACCUAGGACAUGUCAGAUGAUUUUCCACUCAAUGAGUGUCUGCACCACUCCCUUGUCUCUUCCCCACCCUCUUGUUGGACAGAUAGUGCUGACACGCUUCCUGUUAUGGGCUGCUGCUCCGGCUCUCGCGCCUGCUGGCACCGAGCCGCCUGUGGCUUGGGCACAGCACUUCAAAAGCCAUUUCUGGCACACGGACGAAAUAUUUUGAAGUGAGUUUGGGUGGUUCCCAAAACGACCUGCUCCAACCGAGCAGAAAGAAAGCUUACAUUAUCUCAUGUAAAAGACCCAGAUCCUCUCCAGAGCCUGCCAGAGGUUUAUGAAAUGCUGCGUUACUUCUGAGAAGCCUUGACAAAAAUAAAAAGCAUAAACGUGAUGCUGAGAUAACAGCUCAAUUGUCUGCUCUUAAUUUCUCAGGAUCUAUAAUGUACUUGAUACCUGUCUUGUAAACGGUGCAAAGUAAUUGUUUUGUGGUUGGUCAAAGCCAAUUGCAUGUGUGAUGGAAACUAUGGAAGAUGAAAGGGAGGGAAACUAAAAAUGACACAGAAGUUAUGGCCACUACUAACACAUCCUUUAAAAUCAGUGUUUUAUAUGAUCUUUCAUUACUUAGUGAAAGUUUGUUUUACAAUUAGAGCUUGAGAGCUUUGGAGAGAACAUGUAGGGUGAAAAGCAGAUGUACAUUAUAUUUUGGUACAGAAGCAGUGGUUGCUGGAGUCUUUGACAACAACAACAUCUUGAUAAAGUGGAGUAACAGGUACGUUGUUUUCUUAUUAAUGACUGGGCACGUAGCUGGCAUUCUAGCAUGUUGUAUUCUGGAGCUUUCUGCUCAGCAGUUCUUUUCCUGUAGUACAUAAAUUGCAAUGGCUCUGAAGUUGAGUAGUGCUACAAAACACCUUGCGCUGCAGAUGAGCAAUGCAGAGGCUCAGCUAGAAGAAAGCUGAGCUGCUUCUCUCCACAUCAGAAAAACAGUUUGGCUGUGUUAGAAGUGUGCAUUUGGUGCCUGUGUUGUGGGACCUGGCACCAUCUCCUCCUGGGAAGCAUGUGGGAUGGGGGAAGGCAGCCUCCAGCUUUGUCCCCACCUGCUGGCUGGCAGGUUUGAUAAAUCAGGUGGGGAAAAUUGGCUGUGUAAAUAGCUUUUAAAGAGCAGCGCAUCUUCUUCAGUCUCCCUUUUUGGGGUAUGAGAUGGGGAGAGUCUAAAUAUGGGAAAGCUGUGAGGGAGAACAGCAAAUUGGCAUGGUUCUUGCUGGGGAGCGGUGAGCAGCAGGACAGCAGCAUCACUCCAGUACAGCCUGCAGCAGUGGGAGCCUCCGUGCCACCACGUGCAUCACCCGAGUUGGAAGGGACCCACAAGGAUCACUAAGUCCAACCCCUGGCUCCACACAGUACCACCCAAAAUCCAAACCCCAUGUUUGAGAAUAGUGUCCAGAGACUGACAGUGAAGUCUCAACUUGGGAUAUUUCUCUUUACAAUGGUUUAAAUAAUUGCUAUAUCACAUUGUUGGUCAAGCGGUCGCUUUCUGAGAGAAGUAUCUGUGGGACAUUUAACACUUUCUUCCUUCAAAAUGUUUUUCUUCUUUCUAGCUUUUCUCCUUUAACAUGGCAUGACCAAACGGGGCAGGUGGAAACCUGAGCACAGAUAACUGCGAAUUUACCUAAUCUUGGACAUUAGGCUAUGAACAAAAUAAAUGCUGGACAGUACUUAGGCUGUUGCAGGGGAAGAAGGUGAAAUUUUGCCCUGCUGUGUGUAAUUAUAACUUGUGUGUGAUGUGUCCAUCGUGGUACCGGUAAGCAGAAGUGCACUGCGUUCGAGGUAUUGCUUGGUGGUGAACUCCAUCCGUGAGUAUUCAGAUCAUCUGUGGUGAGAUUAAUGUUGUUAACACUGCAAUCUCCUGCUUCAUUGAGCUGGUUAUAUAGGUCAUCAUUUUUGUACUUUGCAAACCGUACUUAUUUCUUUUCACUAUGCAAAGAGGCAUGAAGGUGCAUUAAGUAAUCACGCUGAGAUAACAAAAAUCAAAGCCUUAUUUUUCAGAUAACAUAGAUAAGGAAAAUCAAAUUUUACUUGCAAAAUCAGGGGAUUGAUCCUAAAAUCAUGAAAGUGCUUUUGAAAACUGUGCUGUUAGGCUUUUCAGUGUAAUUAUUUGUUAUUCUUCCAGUGAAAGGCCGUUUCUUUCCUCUGCUGUGCCCAUAAGGAGGGUUCUGUCACCAACUCGUUGGAUAACGUUUAGUACUUCAGUUCAUUAUAGCAGCUUUCUUUUGCUUAUUCAAAACGCAUAACUGAUGGAACGCAUUUGGCCUGUUUAUUGGAACAUAAUUGUCAAUCAAGUUUGCAACACAAGAAUUGUUGCAAGUGCAAAAUUCCCUUUCCUUGAGCAUCCUGCAGUGUUUCUGUUUUUCACCCCCUUAAAUAUUCCUACCAGUAAAAUGCUGUGAAGAAGCUGGAAGGCACUGUGUUCAUUGUCAGCUGAAAGAGUCCACUGCAGCCCUUUGAGAGUGGUUUUUUUUUCCUAAUGCUGGCUUGUGACUGCACUGAAAGGGCAGCUGUAAACAUGAGGACUUUGUUCUGCCUGCUGCUCUUCAGCUGCAAAGAACUUGAUUUCUUGAUGAAAAGGGAAGUGAAGAGUAGUACUGGCUAGAUAACAAGUGUUGAAAGAGAAGCUGUGCUGUACAUCUUAAUAGCACGAUCUGUGUAUCUCAGUUGGGCAGAAAAAUGAUAAAUUUUUCCACUUAUCUGCUCAUUUGAAGUCAAACAAGCUUUCUCAGAGCAGACUUUUCAAGCUGAGGGCAGAUGUCGAAGUAGCUGAUCCUAGUGCUGCUUUGUUUUGUGACAGGACAGUCCUCCAUCAGCAUGGAUGCCUCCACCCCACUGGAACUGGUGGCCUUGGUGUGUCUCAGCCACCACUGACCUGCAUGUGACUGUGAUGGCUUAACGUUGGCAAUUAAUAGAGAAAUUCAAAAUGCCAAGAAUGUUACUUAGAAAGAAGCAUGUGAUCCAGAUUUUCUGGUCUGCCCAAGCUGUGUUUGAACCAAGACCAGGCAAGGGAAAACAAGUGUGACUUGGAGCUAUUUUUGAUGGCUUGAUCCUGGGACUAGUCCAGCUUCUGCAACAAGUUAGAACUGCUCUGGUUUCAUGCAAGCCCUGCUUGAAUUGAUGGCAUCAUGGUAUGUGAAUCUGUCCCCCUUUUGAUUGGAGUCCAUCUCCCCGUGCUGUGGGCUUGCAGAGCUAAUGUAUUCCCAGCGUGGCAGAGUACAGCCUUACUGCAUUAUGUCUGUAGAGAAUGCUGCAUCCUUUGCACCAUCCUUGGGCAAAUAACCAAUGGUGAACGUGUGUAGCAUCCCACUAUUGUCAUAACUGAGGUGAUCCGGACAGCAUGUAUGUGGGGCUGACCAUGGUCAGUGCCAUGAACACGAGAGGAGUUGCAGCAAAGGGUACCUCCUGAAGUAACUUCUGAUGAAACGUGCUUGAUAUCCCAUUGCUGUUCCAGGAUCUGCAGGCUGUGCCUGUGGAGCUUUGCAGGCUGCCAGACGUGAUCCCGUCACCUUGGUGUGGUUUUGGCCCCAGAGGAGGCUGCUGCUGAGGGGAACGCCUGCAGGGAACAGAGGUGUGGUCUUCCCUUGUGCCCCUCUGCUCUGUGCACACAGCUGCUUUCGUUUGCUGGCAGUCUGAGAUAAGCAGCUCUACUGCUCCUGGAGCAGAAUGACUAACCAGCUUAGUUCUUUGUGCUCUGCUUGGCUUUCUAGUGAAAUAAAACAAAACCAGAACACAGCCAUGCCUACUCUGCUGUGGCAUGAACUGUGUUGUUAGAGAAUCUCAGCCUGACAUUUAAAGUGUGAUUUCCCCUCACCCAUCCUCCUCCCCCUUCUCCCCCUUUUUUUCUCCUCUGGACCCAGAAGGCUAAAAUGUCUGUUUAUAGUAUGCUGCAAUGACUGGCAAUAUUGAGCUUAUUUAGAUAGUGGGAAUGGUUUUUCUGUGAUAACAGAGGUGAAAAGCCUCAGAUAAAGCUGAAAGCCUUGUUGGUAAUUGGGCUGGAAUCGCUCUAAUUUGUUAGUCUGUUUUAAAAGUUUUAAAUUCAAAAUGCAAUAAAUAGCUGAGUGAAAAUGAACACAGAUUAAACCCUGCAUUCACUCUGUAAUAACAAAUACUAUGGAGAAUUUUUCUGAACUUGAAGCUUAAGCACUAUGAUUACAUUCAAACUAUCUGAUUUUUUUUUAUCUGUGCAAUAAAGUGCUCAAGCACAUCCAUCAGCUCUAAAUGGAUGUGUUAUCCCAUGACUGUUCCCUGUUCAGCAAAGCUCUUCAGCACGUACUUCAGUCACAGAAAAAUCCAUGGGUCUGAAGCACAUGUUCAGAGUUCAAGGUGUGUUGAAGUGCUUGUUUAACUCCUGUCCCAUGCAUCUGUAACAGUGUGCUUAACCUUUCAGCUUUGUUUUCGGUGCUUGACAAUAAGAAGAAAUGUAUGCAAAUGCUUUGUGUGAUGUUCUGUCUCUAGCUACCAAGAGGGAGGUAAGAGUAACCCCUGGAACAAGUGCUUCUCUCAUGCUUUUGCUGCUUCAGUAGUUCAUCAUUCAGUAUUGUCAACUCCGGGAGUUUUGCUUCAGCAGAAACUAAAGGUCCGAUUCAGAAAGACACGAGACAGCACUUGGGGUCAGUUUAGAAAUACGUGAACUCUUUUUGGGUCUCAACAGAUUUUCUAGAUCUGAAAAACUUGGUCAAGGAAUUUGAAGAACUUCUGCAGUACCGGUCUGUAACAGCAGCAGUAAUUCUUUAACAGGUUGUUGUAUGAUACUGAAGGCAGUAAGGGAAGGAAGCACGUACCUGGGUUGUUUGUUAGUGACAAGAGUUGCUUUAUUGCAGCACUCAGAGUAAGUAUGAGAACGUAAUGCAGAUUGCCAGCAUCAGUGAAUAGCAGAUGGUAAUUUCCCAUGGCUGAACAAAUAAAAACAUGCAAAGAAGGGAUAAAGUCAGUGAGUGUGUUAGUGUUCUAGUGUAUGUGUUGGAGAACUUCUGCUUAUUGGUGUUCCUGGGUGAGAAAUGUUUUGAUCAAUAUUCUCAAAAAAGCCAUUGAACAACCCCCAAGCACUGUAGAGUGCACUGACAAAAGUGAAUGAAGAAAUACAUUGGGAUUUCUUAGUGGAGUGUUCCUCAGUGAAUCAUUCCCUACUUGUGUGUUACAACACGAGCAGCAGAGACUUCCGUGAUCUCAGGUGGGAAACCCUGAAAUUGUCCUGUGCCAUGCCUUUCUAUCAUCCCUUCUGGGCGAGCUAUAGCUGCUGCUGUUGAUGUUUGUGUGUGUGCUGCACUGAUUUUGCUCUCAUAGGAAUUGGUGAUCUCAGGCACUUUAUUAAUGUCAGUAAUUAUUCAAAGUAUCUGAGCCUCGUCUUAACGCCUGCAGUGGGGCCAGUGGGGGAGAAUAUAGGUUAUAGAAUACAGUGUGACUGUGUAAUUACUCUGAGGUAAACAAAAUGAUGAAAAGUACACAAUCUACAUUAGGUGCUAUUACUAAUUCCUUAGCAGCUCUAGCAAUGCCACGAGACCAGCAUUACCAACCCUGUGCCCAGCUGCUGCCCAGCAAUGGGGCAGCUUGCUCUGCUUGUAGGAUCAGCACUGACUGUGGUGUUCGAUGCUGCAACUGAAACUUGGCUGUCUAGAGCUGGUCCCUGCAUCAAGCAAUGCAUGCUCAUUAAAGUGAAUUCAGUCCCAUCAGAGAUUUGUUAAUGACUGCAUUAAAUUGAGGGUAAGCACUGUUGAGCUCCAUGCUAUUUAUUUCUGCAGUACAUGUUGUCUGUAUUUUGAGCAUUAUAGAGGGGCUUUCAACUAAGGAAAGAAAUGGGAGAAAAAUAAAGCCCUUCAGAGACGAAAACCAACCUCAACUGUGCUGUUUGUAGAGGAACUCGGAGACCCUGAUAACGGGAACAUUAAAAAUGCAUAUCCAUGUGACACAGCUCUAUGAUCUGCUGGUUAAAGGGCAGUUUGCUGCCAGAGAGGUAGCUUGCUGCUCCCCCAGCAACUGAGCCCUGCAGCCAGCGUGCACAGCGUGGAGCUCCAGGCUGCCAUGCCACCAGGCAGUGCUUCUUAGUCUGUCUUUUCCGCAUGCUUCGGCACACCCUAGCUUGAGGUGGGACUGGAAGCGAAAGUUCUGGAAUACUCAAGGAAGACCAUUCUUGUGGUAUUUCAAUCCCAGCCAAAAACAGGAAGCACUGGAAAACCAGCCAAAAAGAAAAAAAUAAAAAUUAAAGUAAAAAUCAGACUGCUGGGGAGCUUGCCAGCCUGAUUUCCAAGCCAAAGGGAUUUGGAAAAGCAUCCGAAUGUUUCAGAGGUUAUCCAGACCAGAAUAAAAGACUUUCCCUCUCUGCUUGGUGUAUGGGUGAAUUGCAGCCUUCUGAGCUGUGCUGUCACUGAGGAGGUUCCUGUACUUGGUUCUGCCCUCCCAAUCCUAAAAACAUAUUUCCCCAUAGCUGAAGGUGCCUGCUGCCUCAAAAUGCCAGCACAAGUCUUAUUCCUGAAAAGAGUGAAUGGAGAAGGAAAAAAGCAAAACCAGUCAUGAGGCUGUUCUAGAAGUGUCUUUAUUAUCUGCCAUCCACUCCAAGUGUCGCUCAAAGGCAAGCAGUCUGUUGUCCAUCAGCUUUAGCCUAUCCUAAACGCUUUCACCACUGCUUCCAUAAAGAUGAGACAGGUAUGAAGGGGGUUAUCCCCCUUUGCUUUGCUCCUCAACGCUGCUUUCCCUAAUUUGCCAAAUCUGGUCACUGAGUUGUUGCAUCCGAAGAGGACAGGUAUUGCUAUAAACCAUCAAUAUUAAUGAUGUAUUGUUGAGAAGAAAGGCCUCGGAAGCCAUGCCAAGUGAACGUCUGUGGAGUAGUUUGAGUUUUGGCUCACGUAUUCUUUUGAGUGAGUUUUAGCCAAACUGCUUGUGUCAGUUUUACAGACCCAGGGUGGUCUUAAAGACAAGAAUGUUAAUGGCUUCUUCCUGUCAAAUUAGUUUAUGACCAAAAGUUUCUUUUUUUUUUUUUUUUUUAAACUACCAGCAAUGAUAGCAUUAAUCUAAACAAACCUGUCCCCCUGAACUGCUCCUGGCAAGUGAGUCAUAGCUGGUGUAGGCAGAGAUCUGCGGGUUAUCUUCAGGACAGACCUGUGGCCCUGGGAUGGGGAGAGGGUGUGCUGUUAAAUCACUGGGCUGCGGUGCUCCUGUGCCUUCUCACACCUUACAGAGAUAGCAGUUGAGUAACUCAAGACAUAUGGCUGGACUGAGGAAUAGAAAGGGCUGUAAAACCAGAGCAUCAAAUAAGGAUUGUGAACAGACUUCCCCUGAUGAGCCCAUAGGAAAAAAAAAAAAAAACAAACAACAAUAAUUGAGCAACCUGUUUGUUGUGAUGGACACAGAGCAUUUCUCUGUUUCAAUUUUUUUUUUUUGCUUGUAACCCUAGCAUCUGGUUGUCAGUCAUAGCAUGUGGCCCGUGGUGUUUUGAGAGUUUCAGUGCUUGAGGUAUGUGAAGAAAAGGAGUAAAAAAUUGUUUUAUCUGUGUUUUAUGCCAUCACGUCUUUUGUGAGUUGACUGAACAAAGCAGCAUUCAGGCAGUGAAAAAUUAAUAUAUACAGAUAGCAUGUUCUGGUUGCUUUGUAAAAGGUAUGAUAUAACAAAACAACAGAAUUUUGCAUUAUGAAAUGUGACAAGAAAACAUCUAUCAGGGUAGCUUGUCCCUUCGAGUCUACAUGGUAGAGAAUCCCUCCUUCCAUAGAGGAGCUAUUUUCAGAAUAAAAUGAACUUGCUAAGUUGAGUCAGCAAACGUUCUGGUUGUGUAGCCAAGCAGCUAUGAUGGACCUGGAAUUAUCCCUACUUUUCUUCCCUCUAGGCAGCCAUGCCCUCUGCUGAGGACUCUGCAUUUUCUAGCUGUGAGGAUUUUCCUAGUGAGGAACUUUAUCACCUUUUCUCCAUUUUAAUAGUGAUUCUACCAGGAAUAAUAAAAUCCUUCAGCUCUUAUGCUGAAAGCGUUUUCAUUGCCUCUAGGAGUGAUCUAUUAGGAAGCAUUUUACACCUUUUGCUAAGCCCUCUGAAGGACUAAAAAUAACCAACCAAACAACAAAACACAAAGCAAACUGCAAGAAGUCUGCUUGCAGAAAGGCCAUUCAUGCUUUUGGUAAUAUUACUGUUUUCAGCUUGAAAGGGGAGCAUCUCUUUGCAAUAGCGUUAUAGAAGAAUGAGCUCCACGUGUGAAACUUCCCCCAAAGGAAUGAAUUAUUGCAUUAUUCUUAUGUUAUUAUCCUCUGCCUUGAUACUUUUUGUUCAUCUGGAAUAAAAUAAAUGAAUACCUGCAGAAAGCCACAGAGGCUUUCCGGGGCUGGAAACUAAGAAUAAGCUGUAAUUGAGUAUAGAAAUCAAAUUGUGCCAGCAUGUUUAGCUUCUUCAGUGUGUUUACUUCAGAGUAGUAACAGCUUAAUAAGAGUUCUUAGGAAGAUUGGUGCCUCAAUCACUUAGUGUGUUUGCUGCACGUGUAUUUACAUCUCAGAGAUCCGUGCCACAGAAAUGCUGAAGCAGAGCUGUCUGUUGCUGGCACACUUACAAAAAGCAGGGGCAGAGCGGUUGCUUGCUGUGCCCUGAUGACCCUCAGAAAUCCAUGUUAUUAAUAGGUGUAGUCACAGCUCCAUGUUAAUUAUGAGGUGCUUCUCACUGCAGUCAUUAAUAACCGGUGGGCUUUCCUAUACAGAAAAAAAGGUACCAUUUGUUUAGAUCUUAGUGGGAACUAAAUUAUCUUUCAGCGUAUGCAGAGAUACAGCAGCAGAUGUGACCUUAGGCUGUUAUGAGGCUCUGUGAGAAGCCAUAACCUCUUGAAUCCACGUGGAAUUUUGUACAUCUCUUGAACUUUAGAGCAGAGGGAAUACACCUGCUUGUUCCGCCUCUGACUCUGUGUGCUGGGUUAUUCUUUGGUAUCCUCACUGCAGGCUGGCCGGUUGAUUUUUCAGGAUGCAUGUUUUGGGGUGCACUGCCAGUCAUUGUAAAGAGACACUGUGAAGUUGCCUGCUGUGAUGUCCUGCUGCAAAGCUGAGAAAAAGAGCCGUAAUGCUGUCAGCUGGAGUUAUUUAAAACCUAUUGCAAUUUAAUAGGAUUAUCAAAUAAUCUGCUUUUAUCCGUGUUUACUAAUACGUAGUCAGAAUUUUUUUCCUCCUACGAUGAGGGGAGCUGUGCUGUUCUUGGGAAGAAAACAUCUCCAUGUGGCUGCAGACACAGCUCUCCCUGCUGGGCUGUGCUGGCACUGAGUGGACGCUGGGAAACAGCAAGCAAACAGUAUCUAUAAUGCUGGUAGUUCAGGAUCCUAUCAUAAUAAAGCUAAAAUAAGGGAAAAUGCAUGCAUCGUAGGGAUAGAGUUUGAUUCUCAGUGCCAUCUGAUUUUACUUGUGUGAUCAUCAACCACACGCCCUGGUGGUGACUGCAAUCAGAGCAGGGCAUGGGAGUUCAUCUGAAGCCUUUAUCUGUCAGUACUGCGGCAGAUGUGAAAGCUUAGCUAGAAGGAACCCAGAAAUACUUAAAUCUGCUCUACUGGAAGGGUGGUGCCAUCAGAACCUACAACGCUAUUAAUAAUUCUUAAGGGCCGUGUCUUCUGAAGCACAUACUGUUUCAUCUUUAUUAAUAGAAACUGCAUUUUGGAACUAGAACGCCGCUGAGAUCUUCUUAUUUGUUUUUAGGGGAAUUUGGACCUUCCUCUUGAGUUCCAAGCAACUUGAGUUGAAGUUCUGUCUGUCUGCAAUGGAAAGAUGGACAAAAAGCGUUCUGGCUUCAUUUCCAUCCCAUGUUAAGUUAUGGUCCAUGCGUGCUCCGUGGCCUUGGAUUUGGAAUAGAGCAUGCGUAGAUUUUCAGAUGAAGCCUCUGUUAACCAGAUAAAAAUGUGCAUUUCAGAAGCAAAAUACAUCUGCGUUGCAGCAUGGCAAGUUCAAAGCCAUUCGGAGAAGUUUAUGGGAAGCAGCUGUGGGUUGUCUUUGCUAAUUAGGAACAGAGCACGCUGAGGACUUGACACAACAGGUUUACACAGUACGAUUAGGUAAAGAAAGUUAAUGUCUGCUUUUAAUAACAAGAGCAAGUAGCAGAGGUGGCAAAGUAUUUUUAAUGACAUCAUUUGCCCAGCUGUUUUACACAUCUGUAACCCAGGACGUCGUUCCAAUUCUGUAACACUUCAUCCUUGCUCUUCCACACCUUUGGGAUAAGGGAUAAAGUUACCUGUCUGGGGGAGAACAGCCUGGGCAACGUUUGCAUUUGUGGCCAGUUAUCAGCAUUGGCCGUGUCCAAACAUUGGCUAAACCUAUAUAUUUUUCAAAGUACUAAUUACUUCACUGUGAAUUUGGCACUUACGCAGAUCCCUGUGCUCUUGGCCAGGCUUACAUCUAGGAAUGAAACAUUUGCAGCAGCUGCGAAAAUGUUUUUACUUAUUUAGAGCAUUCUAAUAUUUUAUAGCCGUGAAUAAUGACAAGCCCAUGAAUCAGACAUCAAUUUGCAGUGUUAGAUGCUUCCCCCUGUGAUGUCUUAGACAGUGAUGGCACGAGGGCUGUGCCAUGGGGCCCUGCUGCAUGGCUGCGUGGAUGCAUGCUGCUCAUGUAGGGGCAGGUUCAGCUGAUUGGAUCCAGUGGGAUUUCCACUGAGAGGGCUUUGAUGCGGAUGCCUUUUUCUUCCUUUUGUAAUCUCCAUGCAGCUGUGUAGAACUACCUCUGGGGCUCUAGCUGGGCUUCUGUUUCUAAACCUAAGCAGCUUAUUCUGCCAAGGUGUUGUGGCCCACUAAAGAUGGGCUCACACCUGCACCUGAAGUGUUACCAAGAGUCAACUUGAGGGACUUGAUUACCUCUGUGCUAAUGAAGAGGAGUUCUCUUUCAAUGGGGAACAAGAGGAAUGCUGUGCAAAAUGUUUGAGAGGUUUGCUGUCACUUUGGAGCAGUGAGUGACUCAGAAAGGUCCCAUCCAGCUGCUUCACUUGGUUUGCUAUUUGGGUUCACUCUCAAAUAGCUGUAAUGGGUUGGAAAGUCUUGGGUUUUUUUUGUAUUUAAUGCUCUUUGUGAUGUAUGGACGUAGGGUAUAAAAUGUUAGUACAUUUACAUGCGGUGUAUGGCAUGCUUUGGGAAUAUACUUGAGCUGUAGGACUUCAUUACUCUGAAUUAACCUCUAGUCUGGGAGAGAAAAAUACAACAGUAAAGUGUGGUACAAAUAUAUCUGGAGAGAAAUAUCUGGAUGUCUGGAGAGAAAUGCAGCACUGACUAAAGCAAAAUAAAGCAGGUUCAUGGGAGAUAGAGUGUGGGUCUGAGAAAGGGGCACUCUUCAUUCUGAUAUAAUAGUACAAAUCUUGUCGCCUUUCUGUAUCACUGGGGUAGGGUUGACCUCAAGAUUGGGGGCCAAAAUUCAUGGCAACGGUGCCUCGUUACUCUCUGGAUGAUACCAAACUUCAGCAAUUAGUUCAGUGCAGAUAUAGCUGGGCACUGUUCAGCCUGCAGCCCCAUUUCAUCACAACUUCAUUUAUUUUCUUGUGUUACAGUGGUUUUGUAUGUGUAAUUUUAUUCAUGGAUACAGUAAGGGUUGAGCAUCAUUCUGCUUCAUUGCAGGAACGUAAGUAUUUGUCAAAAUGAGAGGGUUUUCCAAACUGUUAAAGUAAACUAUAAAACUCCCAAAAAGGUGGAAAGUCUGAAAACUGCAUUUGCUCUUAAAAAUAAAUUAAUAAAUACUUUAUGAUGUGGAGAGGAAAAAAAAAAAAAAAAAAAGAGUCCAGGUGGAUAGCAAAAGUGUUAGGAAAAUAAGUGAGGACAAAUAUGGUUUCAGAGCAGGUGUAUGGGUUAAGAGAACAGCAGAACAUGUUUCUUUGCAGUGACACAGGAGCUUGGACCUUCUGAAUUCUCCAUGAAACAGGUGAACAUGUUUUUCCUUUCAGGCUUAUUCAAGAGAAAUGUGAGUGAUAUCAAAACGAAAAAGUAAGAGAAGUGAUGAUUUGCAUCUGUGGGUACUACCAGGCAAAACCAGUGGGAUAUUUCACGUGCUCUACAUAUUUUAGAAGUGGAAAACCCUGUCCUGGUGAUAACAGCAGAGUCACUGUUACAUAAUUUGAGUUCUGAAUGCUCUUGAACUGUAAUAAGAACCUGAGAUCAAGAUGGGCCAGAAGCCAGGUAUGUGAGGAACGUCUCAGGGAUGCACUCAGGGCUAAUGUUCUCAGUGUUGUACAGCAUCCCUGCCAGCCCCUUGCCCACCUCAAUGCAUGCAGAAGGCUCUGGGGCAUCAGCUUUCAAUCCUCUUUUCUGAACAAAAUCAGUCCCACAGUAGGCACUGUUCCCUGUUCUUGGAAGAAAAGUUUGCUGAAAAGUUGCUAAGUCUUUUAACGCUAACUUGGAUUGCUUCAUAUCAAGACCAAACCUUUCCCAUAACUGUAUCUUACCUGAACAAAAAAGAUUUGUCCCGACACAAGAAUCAUGCGCGAUGCUUUGCGUGCUUUGUUAUCCAGGAGGUUACCUAAGUGAUCAUCAGUUUUCCUUGGUGGCUUGACAGUCUCUUAAUGCUUCCUGUUACUUGAAAGUGUAUCAAAGCUUUAUGACCCCCAGGGAGCACAGCCAGAGGAGGAUGCAGCUCAGUGAAUGGCAGCAGUGCAGGGCUGCCCGGGGCCCAGCUCAGGGCUGCCCAUGGGGAGCACGGCCAGCUGCCAAGCCGUGCAGCGGGCGGCUGUUUUCAUUGAGAAUGCAGCCCGAGAAGUUAAAACCUUCUGAGUUUUUAAAGUCAGCUGGAGAACAUUAUAGUCACGCAGAACUGAAGGCAGACAACUCGUUAAAAUUAGCGUUGGCCGUAAUUAAAAACAUGCCGGGGGAAAAAGUCUAUGAGAAGAAACAGACUCUUGGAAAGCUCCUGACACAGCUACAUGUCUAAAUGGAAACAUAGCUUGCUAAUUGAUUUAAACGAUUGCCCGGCUCCUCCCUGCUCACUCCCUGCAGCAGGUACCAAAGCUGCCCUCCCUGCGGGCAGCCAGGCUGGGCACAGCCCCUUUCCCUGCCUGCCUUCUGCAGCCCUGCAGCUGGAAUCCCUGGGGCUGCAUGCUGCCCAUGGCUGCGUCCUGCUCUCACUGAGAACAUGAGCGUGCACAUAGGAAGGAGGAUUUUCAACUCUGAGUUAAGCCUUUGCAGUGGGUGCCAGUGCUGACUGUUGGUAGCAAAUAGCAAUGAUUUGGCUGUGCUUGUUGUAUCAUCGGGUCAAUUUGGAGCGUCAUUGCUAAAACAAUGCCACUACCAGCAUUUAUAGCUGCACGAGGAAUGCGCAUAGUUUCUCUGCUGAUUAUUGCAGUGUUUUGUUUCCUUUUGUUCUGUGCAAAAGACCCAGUCCUUACACAGGUAUCUUACAUGCUCCUCUGGUCAUGCUUCCUGAAAAUGAAGCAGCACUGGGGCUUCAGUUGCAUCGUGUUGUGCUGCUUGCUGGCAGCACAUGGCCAAGUAGCCUGGGUGAAUCCCGUUCCUUGCUGUACUACCAGGCAUGAUUUUGUGGUGCUGCUAAUCUUACAUCCAUCCUGUCCCAUUUAGCUGAAAUUUUUAUUUCCUUGCUAUAGCCUAUGGUUAGGAAGUGUACCUUUCCACACAUCAUCAUUCAUUUUUCUAUUGGCUUCCAUUGUAUAAUGCAGUAUGAGAGUGAAAAACUCUUCUAGUGCCAGUCUGGAGAAGCCCCAUGUCAUGUUGUCAUGCUCAGUUUUGGGGUUUGUGUGUGUUUCUAUGAAGAUAACAAACCCUGCUUCACAGCCUUACAUAAGGCCUACUGGCUUCAAUUAUGUGUUGUAACUCAAUGACUACCCUAUUAAAAUCAUAAUGCAAUUUAUAUUGGCUUUUAUUGCACGUUGUAACAUGAUGAUAGGCCCUUUUCAUGUGAUGCCUUUUGGCUUUUUUAACAAAUCAAAAUGUAACAGCCCACCUUUUUAUAUUCUAAUGUAAUGAACUCUUUCCACAGCUCCGUCUGAUGCUUAUUGGCUUCUCUGAGAGAUCCUAUUCCUAAUUUAAUGAGUCCCUCUUCACAUCAUAAUGUAAUUCAUAUUGGCUUUUACAGCAUAUCCUCGCACGCCGGUGCCAAAUCAUAUUGUGUCAUAAAGCUAAGUGGCUUCUAAUGGACAUCACACCUCAGUAACCCUGUCACACGUUGUAACAUUUUUGUCUGCUUCUCUAACACAUUGCAUAAGUCCAGUGCUUCUCCAGAAAGCCUGCUGCAGGCGUGAGCCGCGGGUUUUAGGCAGCAGGCGGCUGCGGCCCUUGCUGAGGCUGCAGGCUGUCGUGCUCUGGCUGUGUGUCACAGGGAUGUUUGAAGGGAUGCUUUAAAGAAACGCUACCCGCCUGACUUUAACGACUCCCUUGUUCCUGUUAUGGGUUAUUGCACAACGAACGCCUUCAGAUCUAUUUCUCCGCGCAAGUAUUUUUAAGCUCGCGUAGGGUUUACCUUAUUUAAAUUCUUAAUGAGGCAUGUAUUUGCUUCUUUAACCAAAUUAUGCUAAGAUUUUUUUUUUUUUUUUUGCGUUCCAGAGUCCAUUCUGGACUUUGAUAUUUUCUGAGGAAAGGCUUUCCAUAGUGAGAAAAUUAAAUUCCUUUCUCAGUGUGUAUUACUGGCAGAGUGCUGUUUUCUGAAGGCAGCAGAGGUGGUGACACACCAUCCCUGCCCCACAGCAGGACCUGCUAUCCCAGAGUUCAUGGGUAAGUUCACUGCUUCACUGACAUCUGACGGAGCUUUCCAGUGUUCUUCAGAAGAAAGAGAUACAAAAAUAUUUACUUGUUCUAGGCAGGAACGUCAUAUAACGUCUCUUUCAGAGCAAGCACUGACAUCUGCUGUUUAUCAGUCUAUUAUUUGUUCCUUUUAGGAGUGUGUAGUCCUUGUGUCUCAGGUAGCUCUCAAAUCUUUUCAAUAGCAUCGUGCUACAAAGCAUACACUAAAGGUGGGAUUUAUUUUUCCCAACUUCAAAUAUCUGUGUCUUAUCUAUUCCCCUUAGGCGUCAUUUGUAGGUGCUAGAAAAGACAAUGUCAAUAGAUAAUCACAUAUUUAAUUAUAGAGUUACUUUUAGGUGGGCCGAAUUGCUUUCUGAAGAAGAUUUAUUUCCACUGUUUGCGAUGAGGCUUGAUGAGUAUUCAGAUGGAGAAUCCCACUCUUGGAAGAUGAAUAUUCACGAGAGUACUGCAACCAGGAAAGGAACAUCUCCUUGUCUGCCAUGGUAAAUGGUUCUGCAACCCCAGAUAACAUGUCCUGUCCUCCAAGGAGGACAAGAGCCAUGGAGGGCUGGCUGUGACAUCUUCAUGGAUCAUCAGCACUGCUCUCAGAAUGGUAGGUGCUACUGGAAAGUGUAGGAGAUUCUUUCCUAUCUCUUCUGGUUUUAUAGACAAUCAGUACUGAGUCUCCAGCAGUCCUGGCUAGCUUGCCUGAAGCAAUUAAGAAUAACACAUUGUUGAAGUGAUUUUUAUGAGCCCAGCACAAGUGCAGGGGAUGAUUUUAUGGGCUAGCACAUCCUGAGGGGAUGAAAAGACAUGUGUUUCCGUGAAGCGUUGUGCUUGCUGCUCAGAGAGCUUCUGUGGGCAAAUGAAUUAGGUUGUGGGACAGAAAGCACGCAGUGGUCUCAAGCCAGAAAUGUUGCUCUCUCUGUACUGGAGACAGUGUCUCACAAUGUCCUUCCUCCAGGGCAGGCUGUGGAUCUCUUUUCUCCUGUUAACUGAGCCCAGAGGGAAAAAAAAAUAGCCAACAAAUGUGUUGUUUGAGGAAAGGAUCCAUCCCCUGCAAGGGCUCUCCUGGGCACCUUCACCCAUCCAUGUCAGUGUGCAGUGCAGUAUUGGGGCACAUACGGUUCUGGGAUGCUGAUAAAGCAUGUGGCAUCUCUUCAGAUGAGGAUAGGAAAUAUGCUUUAAUAGCUUUGCCUUUGUGAAGAUGCACAUCUUAUGGGCACAGUGUGGAGAGAAUGCUGGGAAAUAGCUGAGAGGAAAGCAAACAAUGUAUGAUUAAUUAAUCAAAAGGAUGUAAUUCAGUGAGUAGAAUUAUGCUAGCAACAAAUUACUUAUAGACUAAAUAAUACCCUGAGGAUGCAGGGUUUGAUAAUGCAGACACAGGGAAAUUUAUAGGGAAUUAUCUGCAAGCUAAAAGUUUGAGCCUCAUCUUGUACACAGGUAGUAUGUGAUGGAAGCUGAUUAUAUGGUCACUGUGAUCUUUGCAUGCAAACAUGAUAGGGUAAGUCUUUCACUUUUCUGAGUAAUGUGCUUCUGCUGACCUUCUACUAAUCUUUUCUGCUUAAUCCUCCUUUUUCUUAACAGUACUUAAUAGCUUCCUAUUGCAGAGUGAAUCUGCAGGACUUCUAGGUGAAGUUGGUUGUGCAAAGGAUAGUUGAAAUAUUUAAUGAGAUUUUUCUUCCCUGUUUCACGUCUUGGGAUAAAAAUGGUAUUCCAUGAACUGGGGAAUAAAGCCAUGUCUUUAGGGGCAGUUCCUCAGUAAUGUUGGGGAAAUCUCCCCGAAGAGCUAAGCAUGCUCUGCCCCAGUGAUACUGGCAGAGUUGCCUCCUAGUUUCUUUGAAACAUAAUUUGUGUAUGAGCGUUGUGUUUUGGGUACAAUGUCAUACAGGAAUUUAGUUAGGCAGCAGUCUUCCUCAUUUUUCUGUAAAGUAGCACUAUUUAGUGUUUUCUAGCUAUUUUUGAGUCAAACAUUCAAUGGAUGAUCCCCAAGUUUUGGGCAAGUAUACAAAAAAAGCAUACUUGACUGGCUCAGCCUGCCCAGUCAAUCAUUGGUGAGGCUGCAGCACUUCUAAGCACGGGCUCAGUUUAUGGCCUGAGGUCAGGGAACAAGUGAUGUGCUCUUGCAGGAUACUUCUCCCUCCAGCCCCUGCAGUGCCUCCUCCUCCAGCUGCCACCCUUGCCUUUCAGUCUGACAUUAUGCAUGGCCAUGGCAAAGCUGGAGAGAACCACCUACACUGGUGCAGUUCUGGACAGGGUUGCGGGGUCCCACGUCCUCCCACAGGAGCAGAAACAUAUCCUGGAUCUUUCCCCUGUACUGCAGAUAGAUCCAGAAUGUACUAGACUUAGAAACAGGUUGUGCAGAAUUUGAUGGUUUGUUUUUUUUAUUUAUCCUAAGCUCCAGUCUUAGGAGUUACUUCAUUUUACAAGUUGGAGAACUCUGCAUGUCGUUGGUAAGCUUAGAUAAUUUAUUUACUAAACUCUUCUGGCUGCUUAGAUACUGAGCUGGUUUGUGUAUUCAGUUCAGUUAUGAAACUGUUUUGGCUGCAAGCAUAUCCCUUAGGUACAAUAAGAAGGAGUAAAUAUCAGCCUCUCUGCUUGCAUGGCAUGGCCUUUUGGGAGCCUUCCCUGCGCCCCUCUGCAGAGCAGACUGGCAGCAAUCCUGCAGAAAGGAGAUGGCAUGUUGCUGUGGUGACAGCAGGCAGCAGAGGUCUCAACCAGCCCCAGUAGGCAUGCUGAGUAAUAGAUAAACACAGCAUCUCCCUCUACAGGAUUGCAGUUCAGUUUCAGUGUGCAUCAAGGUUUGCCCAUGCUGCAGAAUCCUGGUGCAGGUAGGUGGUGGUGUGUGCAUUGAUGUUCCUUAUCUGAGGUGUGGAGGGCAGGGGAGUCUCUGUGAGGCCAGCAUCCCCAUUGUCUCCACUGCUCCCUCCACCCAGCAGCCUCUCUCCUCUAUGGAUCAUUAUACUAAAAAGAAAAACAGUGUUUGGCAUGAUCAGAAUCAUCUUUCCUGCUAUUCUGAUGAUAUGUGAGCUUUUGCACCAAGCCCAAGGGGAGCACAAGAAAAUCAGAGCAUGGCAAAUAGCACCACUGCUCUCUGUCCAUAGCAGAGCUUGCAGAGCCCCAUUUGUGCUCCUCACGUUGCAGAGCAGUUUCUAUCUCCUGCUGCUGCUGGGUACAAGCUGAAAUGAAAACAUCUUUGCAAUUCCCUUUACAUUUUUUUUUCCCAGGAUGAGGCCUUUUCCCUGCUGCAGGAGUUGCAGACUUCAGUGCUGACUGCUGGCUGUGCCAAAACAAACCACCUGCUUGUAUGCAGCCCAGUAACUCUCUUGUGCAAACAUCUGCCACUCGGUGCUGAGAUGUGCUGCAAGGGCUGUGCUCACAGCGCCGUGGUCCUGACACCUUCUGCCUGCCCUGCCAACAGGGCUGCUCUUUUUUCUGGCUCCACGCUUCCCUGUACAGAGCUGACUGGAGGAGGGAAGAGCAGACUUGGGGCUGUGCUAUGGGGAAGACCAGUGUUCUGCCAGUUCUGCAUAAAGGUGGGAAUCUGCAGUUAGAGCUGGCUGAUAGCAGAGCGUUGCCUUCUGGACGUUUCAUUGUUAAAAUGAGAGGCUUAAGGGGAAUUUAGAGACACAUUUGCAGUGGUGAUUUUUUAAUGGGACUUAAUUUGUCAUCUGUCUUGCAACUGAUAAAUUAAAAGCAUAUAGAACAGAGGCAUGAAAAGGUUGCCAGCUUUAGACUGCUUGCUGUGCAGCCAAGAUUUUCUACAGCUGUGAUCUUGGAAGGCAUAGAUAUUGAUAAGGAAGGGGAUGUGUGCAUUUGUUACAUGGCAAGGGUGCUGUGCAACCUAUCCAAGGUAGAGAGAGAUUGCUGCUUGAUGUUUGAUAUAAAGCCAGAUAUAUUAAACUUAAAAAACUUCCAAUUAGAUAAAAUCAGGAGAGCAGUAAGUGGAGCAGACUGGCACUAUUUCUCAGACAGUGGCCUAUGAAGGAAAAUUGGCUGAGCUUUAAAGAAGUGCUGGAGCUGGCUCGGAGAGUGAAUAUAUCUUUACUUAAAACUAUACAUAAAACUUUUAAACCAAUGCGGAUGAGUGAUAAGCUGUUAAAGUUAAUUGUGAGAGCAUACAGCUCUAAAAUACACAGAGAGCAGUGGGUGAUGGGCUGCCAGGGGAACUGUGAAGCUGCAACACAAAUGGAGGAUGUGAAGGGCAGAAUGGAGAGCAGGUAAUUAUGGCCAUUAAGCUGCAGAGAAUGUUGGUGUUUGAGCACUUUCUGUGCUGAAAGAAACAAAACCAAAUGCCUGCACCCUGCCCCUCCUGCUGUGUUAUUUCCAUUAGAUGCUCUACCACUAAGUGCUGCACUUACCAGGAACAGUAACACACCUGUGUUGGUUUACCUGUUACAGCUGUUGGUAUUAAUAGUAAUUUAUAUCCAUUAUUAGGCCAUAAUAUUUAUAUAGCUACUAUAAGAUAACGUGUAUAAUUAUAUAUUGUGAGCUAUAAUCAUGGAGUAAUGUACAUUGAGAUGUCAAAAUAGUACAUCUAUUAUAUAGCAUUGCAUGUACUUACAUAUGUAUAUUAUGUAAAUAUGCCUGUCAGUGAUAUGUAAUUCUGUAGGAGACUGUUACAGGUUCAUCACAUGCAGCACUACAUGUCACAUAGUGCACUGUUACAAUAGUUACUGUUUAUACCCCAUAUGGCAGUACCAGCUGCUGGCCCCCAGCAGGCUGCAGGUAAAUACGUGUUGGGAAACAGCUUCACUCAUUGCAUUUUUUCAGCUUUGCUUCAGGUUAAGUUUCAUGCAUCCAGUCAUGAAGGUGCUGCUCAGUGUGAGGAUGGGUUGGGAUGCUUAGGUAACCAGCAAUUGUGUGAGCAUCUCUGUAUGAGGAAUUUCAGUCAGGUCAUUGUGGUAAUUAGAACCACCUACUUUGAUGGUUUUUUCUUUUUAAUUAAAGCAAGCUGGAGGACACCAUGCCAGGAAAGAGACAUUUGCUGGUUGGAUUUAUGAAAAGCAUCUGAAGUUUGGCUUGAUUCUUCUGUCUUGCUAUUGAUGUGCGUAUUGCUGAUAUGGGCAGUUUGCAGAAUGCCUAAAUAAAACAAGACUGAAAACCCCAGUAUGGCUGGUAAGGAAAAGGCAGCCGUCUCUCUCUGGAAGAUGUUGUUUUGUAGCAAUUGCCAUUGGUAUUCAUUCACUGCGUUACUUCAAGUCAUAGAGCUUUGUGCAUUUAUUUUACAGGGAUUUUUCUAAUCUCUGAAUGCUCUUCCCUCUUAUACUAGGAACAGAUCCCCUGAUAAUAUGAUUCCAGAUCCACUCAUCACGCUUCCAUUUAGGACUCAGUUUGCUGUACUGCUGUACUUGGAGCAGUAUGGUGCUGCCAUUAGCAGUCAGUGCUCCUAGUGACCAGGGCAUGCACUGUGCCAUAUAGCUCUGCUCUGUGCCCACUGAUCCACGCAUCAGUGCUGUCCUGAAAUUCAAGCAAAUUGAAUAUCUCACACUCAGAGUUCCUUGGGAACCAUUUCCACCAGUCACCACUUGGGUCUUGGGGGGGAUCUAACAACAGCCUUACCUACUGUAGCACUGGGAGCUAAAUAUUCAGGUGUAGUACUGAGGGAUGUGGUUUAAUGGGGAAAUAAUGGUGGUUGGUGGGCAAUUGGACUGGAUGAUCUCGGAGGUCUUUUCCAACCUUGGUGAUUCUGUGAUAUGUUUCGUGAUUGAGUUUCAUUGUAGGGCGCUACUGUAGGUCAGGAGGAGAUGGAGGGUAGGGAACAGGUGUGUGAGAUCCAUAAGGAUAAUUCUGCUGGAAAUGUGAAGGUCACAAAGUGAAGACUGUUCCCACCCAAACUCAUAGCUGUUAAGCUACAAGGUUGAGUAUCAUCACCUUCAACAUAUUGCUAAGUGAUAGUGGGUAUUCUCCUGUGUUGGCAGUAGAGUUUGGGCUUACUGAAGCAACACUGUAUUUUCUUCUUGCUGAAGGAGAAGAUCGUGAUGACUUGCUGAAGCAUUAAAGCUUUGAAAGAGAUAACUUCAAUGAAGAAGCACCUUUCUCCACUCCCUUUCUAUGAUAACAGUGGUAAAGGCUUUGUGUUGCUGUAGUAAUGGAGAACUAAGUGUAGUCUAGAAUCUGGAGCAGUGACUGCUAAUAUUCAUGGCAGUUUGAACAGCUGAAUGUUCUGUAAACGUGCUUCUGGUCAGCAUUUUUUUCUUCUGAAGAAUUACAGUCAUGGUGUUUGCACUUUGAGACCUCAUCCAAAGCCAGCCAGAGCUGAGAAUGCAUUUGGAAAAUGCAGGAAGACAUAGGGUUUAAUUUUUAGGAAGACCUUUAUGGAGCCAUGAGUUGGACUCAAAGGGACUUCUGGGUCUGUUCCAACUAGGGAUAUUUUAUGAUUCAAUGGUUUUCUUUAAUUGCAUUUUUUCCUUGUUGCUUUCCAUAGGGCGUGUGAUGAUGUGUACAAAUGUGUAACUAAAUAGAAAAUAUUUUUGAGUAAAACAGAAUUGAUUGCUGUAUGUAUUAAUUGAAACUAGUUGGAAGUCUGAAAUGGAUUAUGCUGCUGUUUCAGACUUAUCUAACUUCACUGUAACAUAGGAACUGUCAUGUUCUAGAGCGUGAGCCAUGACAAGCCUGAAGGUCCAGCAGUGUCCAAGUAACUUUUGAAGAAGCAGCACAGCCUCUGCCUGCAGCAUUUGAGAUGGCUGAAGGAGGAGAACAAGAAAUGCACGGUCCCUGUUGCAUCAAGGUUGAUCUGUUUCCAGAAGCUCCCCGUACUUCAGGAUACACCUUGAGGUGCCAGUUUUUACACAUCUUUAGCCCCGCCAGCGUUGUGCUUCAGCAGGAGCCUUGGCCAAGCUGGUGUUCCCAGUGCCUGCUGCCAGCUCAGAGCUGUUCCCUGUGGCACAGCACGUGUGCCUGUUCUGUUUGCUCAGGUGGGAAAGGUGUUGAUCAGGGACAGAGAAAAAACCUUUUAAAACAAGUUGAAUGUGGGGACCAGUGGUCAUCAUUUCUCUUUAGAGGCUGAGAGCUCUUGCUGUUUAUGGUCUGUGUGCUGGUGUUUGGCACUUUGUCCUCUUUCGUCUGACAGUAGCAAGAACUGACGUUCUUUAUUUUACUCAGAAUCAUGUUUUUGGGCUUCCGAUCUCUUAAAUCCUGUCAUGGCUUUUAGUCUAGAAGGGAGCAGAAGUAUGUUUUUGAGAACUCAAAGCUGCUUUAAAUCACAGCAAUAAUAAUGCCCAGGCAAAUAACCAUUACGGUUAGCUAACUGUAAUAACGGCAGAUCUUGGCUUUUUGUUUUUUAGCACUUUUAAAAAGAGCAGUCAAUCCAGAAUAAACUCACCAUUGAUUACUCUGAUUUACAUCCAUUUAGCAGAGCAGAAUCUGACCCUUGUAAUACAUUCCUGGGUUUUAAGAGCAGGAGAACUCUCAGCAACGAACCCAGUUCUACAGCAAGAAAGCCACGGUCUUCUAGAUGUUAACGCAGCAGCCCUCAAGAGAUGCUUACAGUGAGAUAUGUUGCAAGGUCACUUUGCAUUUUACCAUGCAGUGACAUUGUGAGUUCUGACAAUUCCUGUAAAGAAACUCCAGAGCACGUGGUAUCUAAAAGCAGCCUCUGGCGUAGCCACUACUACCAGUUCUCCCGAAAAAAUGGGAGCUGGACUUUGCACAAGUGUUUAUUGUAAAGUUAGCUGGGCAGAAAGCUUGUGACUCAGGCUAUGGCUGGUGGGAGGUAUUACUCAGCUCCGUGUGAACCCUCAAUAAAGUUCAGUACAGUUUUUAAGCUGUGGUUUUGGCCAGGUUUUGCUUUUUCUGCGUCAGUUGGUUCCUUCUUUGUUUGGACCAUGGUUGAUUUAAACAUUAUUUUUAUGAGUGGAUCCAUUGACUGUUUUGACUGUGUUUGGGUUUUUUUUUUUUCUUUUCUUUUUUUGAUCCUUUGGUUAGGAAUAAUUUGGGGGAGGAUGAUUUAAAUAAGGACUGAUGUGUCUUGGCUGGGCUUCCAGUGGCUGAGGAACACAUUCUUCAGCACUGUCUGCCCCUCCUUCGUGGCUGGCCAGGAUGUUGAGCAUCUUGAGAUCCAGAAGGCACUUGUUUUUCUCCAUAGGGACACCUGGUAUAUUUUAUGACAAAGGCUUUAUACCAGCUUUAGCUGUCUGAACCUACACUGCUUCUUCCAAGAAUUCCAGGAAUUUGGGAUAAAAAGGGGAAUUCCAGUGUCUCCUUAAAACGUAAGCAAAUGAAUG